UUCCACAUGGUUGAUCUGACUCGUAUAUAUUCAGGAAUAGGGCCUGAACGUUUCUACCCGGCCACCGUAAAUGGCUGGACUACGAGCGCUUGGUCACCGGUG
rnacentral:ncRNA from 1 species